UAGUGAUUCUGGUGGUACGUCGUCGCUGUUUUUACGAAAAAGUCCUUGUGAUUUAGAGUAAUAAACCCGCAGUCCAUAUAAUAAAGUCAAUCGAACCGGUAUGACGAGAAAGAAAAAAAAACAGCCUCCCGAUCUAGCUCGUACGCCGCCGCCUCGUGCUCUGCUCCUCCCCGAGGCCCCUCGCUCGAUCUGGACCAGCAGGUCCCGAGCGCCUCGGCCUGCUCCUCACGCCGGCGUCCCGCGCCACUGCCGCCGACCUCCAGCCGUUGUCCAUUACCCUCUCCCCCACACUCUAUCUCUCUUCUUCUCCCUUUCUUUUCUCUCUCUCAAAUCUUGUCUCUGUCAGGAACGACAGCGCCAUGGAUCCCGAUGUGAAGCUUCACUGCACCCUGAUCUGACCUGGGAGGGGGUCGCGUUGUGCUCGGGCGCCGCAUCAGGUGGCGGUGGCGAGGUGGGAGGGGAGCACGGAGAUGGGCGCGCGGAGACGAAGGAGGAGAAAAAUGGAGAGGCGGGGAGGCUACGCUCGGGGUCCGCAUCAGGCGGCGACAGCGAAGCGGGAGGUGCGCACGGAGACGAAGGACCCGAGAAUGGAGGCGUCCGGGAGCGAGGACUUCGCCGGCGUCAAAGCCACUGCCAGGCGGGACGCGCAGGCGCGCGAGGGGCGCAUGGCUCCUCUCCUGGUGCGGCACACGAGGGAAUGAGGUGGGGAUCGAGCUGCCGGCACACCACCCGACGUUCACCCUUGCUCCACACUUCGUCGGAACUCCAUCUGUUGGUUCUGCACUUAGGUAUUCACUGAAGCAAACUUUGUAAUUUCCUGAUAUAUCUUAAUGAUUGUUGAAGCCAAACUCGCAUCUCAUCUGCUUUUUAAUAGUUUUGCAUAAUUUACUUUCUUGAACCGAUGGUCUGAACUCUGAAGUGGUGUCUUAUACAUGGUUAGGUAAUGUAGUGGGGAAUUUUUCUGAUGUACAACCUAUAUAUCAGAAAUGGUUGAGCUUGGAAUGAUCUGUCCCGGUUAUUAGUGUUUGUGUUCCUGUAGAUCAAAUAUCUAUUUGUAAUUUUGGAUUAGUAUAUUUGCUUUGAAAGUCAGAAUUGCAUUUACUGUUUUCUUUUUGGCGCAAAAAGAAGUAGUUAGUGUUAAACAUAUGUUAGACAGAGCUACUUACCAAUGGCAAUUUGUCUGGAGAUCUGAUGUUUUUUGUACAUUGUUGUGGCUGAAAACCUGAAACAAUUUGUGUAACUGGUAGUCUGUUGCUUUACUUCUACACUGCUUAAUUAACCUGCGAUUAAUUUUGUUAUUUGAUUUUUGGCAAGAAUCAUCGGACUAUAGAUUAUUGAUCAUGCAUGAAACGUUUUAAAGGAAGCGAAUCUACAUUUGCAUGCUCGGUUUGAAGACUUGCCAGCUGGGUGAAGAAGCUUUCUGACAAACAUCCAAAUCACUCUAAUAGGCCCAAGUUGAGCAUAUGUUAGAUGGUCUGGAUGACAUGGAUGGUGCCGAGGAUGUCCCUUUUGAUGAGCUCAUAGGCAUGCAAGGCUUAGUAUUUCACUCGGUUGAGAAUGCAAUUACAAUAAGGAUCUCUUCUUUGUCUUAUUUUAGUUAGACAAAUGUGUUUCCUUCAUGUUUACAUGUAUCUGAUGUUGUUUCAUUUUAUUUUCUUAAGAUAUGUAUUACAUACAAGUCUGAUGGAUUCAAGAGAAUGAAGAGUAAAUAAUACUAUACUAUAAAUACGUCAACUACAGAUAACCCUCCCAACUACAAUGUUGCACCUGACAACCUCCUACUCAACGAGGCCAAGCUAUCUGCAGGGGACCAUGCCCCUGGACGUUCCUAAGAGGUGUGCUGCUAGAUGACCUUCUUGCUGCUGAAACAACAAAUGCUUGUAACUGCAGCUCCUGCUAACAUGCAAGCUGGAUGAGCACCGGGUUGCUACGAUGAUGAACAAACAUGCAAAUGACUGCAGAAACAACAGCUGAUGGAGCUGUGGUUCUUGGAAACCCAGUUGCUCCUCCUGUUAAUGGGGAUGUGUAUGCGGAUAUCAGCCCUGAGAAUGUUGUGGUCCAGUGACACCGAGAAGAUAGUGCAAAUGUGCUAAUUAUUUGGUUGAAGCAUCUGCUGCAGAGGUUGAGGUAAUUAGUGCUACUUUAGCUGCUAUAAAGGCCAGACAAGUUGGAGAUGAGAUGAGCAUUUUAUCAUAUUGCUUUGCCUGUAAUAACCAAAAUUGAUUGAUUUAGUUUCACACAACAUAGAUAAUUAUAUCGUCAGGUUCAAUUUUACUUAUGAAAGUUGAACAUUUCUUAUCUUGUUAGAUUUCCUCUUUGUAAGUUCUAGGACUUUAGUUAAUUGAACAUCUUAAGGCAUGCAUGCCAGAACUUUCCAGAUGGUAACACUUGAUGCAAUUCUGUUCCUACUAUUCUUACCUGAUACUACCUGGACGACCUUCAAGCAUCAAUAACUUAAUCCUUUUAGGUUUUCUACUUCUUUCUCCAGUACAGACAUAAUAUUGUUUGGUGCUUCCCAAUAUUUGGACGUGAAAGUAGAGAAGCUUUACAUUUCAAGAAAUAUUAGAUUAUCAAUAAGAAAAUAUGGUCCAAGCCGGACUACUACUUCUAAAUGUUUUGUUUUUCACCAAAGGGGAUAUUUUACUUCUCCUAAUCAUGGUCGCCGUGUAACCCGAUGAUAGUAGGAUGGUAAAUAACUACAUCCUUUUUCGGCAUGGCAAAAAAAAAUACAUCCUACCCAUUUGAUGAUUUGCAACUGCAGCUGAACAAUAAU